AACGAACGCUGGCGGCAUGCCUAACACAUGCAAGUCGAACGAGACCUUCGGGUCUAGUGGCGCACGGGUGCGUAACGCGUGGGAACCUGCCCUUAGGUUCGGAAUAACUCCCCGAAAGGGGUGCUAAUACCGGAUAAUGUCUUCGGACCAAAGAUUUAUCGCCUUUGGAUGGGCCCGCGUUGGAUUAGCUAGUUGGUAGGGUAAAAGCCUACCAAGGCGACGAUCCAUAGCUGGUCUGAGAGGAUGAUCAGCCACACUGGGACUGAGACACGGCCCAGACUUCUACGGGAAGGAGGAGUGGGGGAUAUUGGAACAUGGGGGGAAGGCUGAACCCGCCAUGGCGGGUGAGUGAUUAAGGCCUUAAGGUUGUAAAGCUCCUUUACCCGGGAUGAUAAUGACAGUACCGGGAGAAUAAGCUCCGGCUAACUCCGUG
rnacentral:rRNA from 1 species